UACGAAGGGGGCUAGCGUUGUUCGGAAUUACUGGGCGUAAAGCGCACGUAGGCGGCUUUCUAAGUCAGGGGUGAAAUCCUGGAGCUCAACUCCAGAACUGCCUUUGAUACUGGAGAGCUUGAGUCCGGAAGAGGUGAGUGGAACUCCGAGUGUAGAGGUGAAAUUCGUAGAUAUUCGGAAGAACACCAGUGGCGAAGGCGGCUCACUGGUCCGGUACUGACGCUGAUGUGCGAAAGCGUGGGGAGCAAACAGG
rnacentral:rRNA from 1 species